rnacentral:rRNA from 1 species
GAGGAAUAUUGGUCAAUGGGCGAGAGCCUGAACCAGCCAUGUCGCGUGAAGGAAGAAUGUCCUAUGGAUUGUAAACUUCUUUUAUACAGGAAUAAAGUGUACUACGUGUAGUAUUUUGUAUGUACUGUAUGAAUAAGGAUCGGCUAACUCCGUGCCAGCAGCCGCGGUAAUACGGAGGAUCCGAGCGUUAUCCGGAUUUAUUGGGUUUAAAGGGUGCGUAGGCGGGCUAAUAAGUCAGUGGUGAAAGUUUGCAGCUUAACUGUAAAAUUGCCAUUGAAACUGUUAGUCUUGAGUACAGUAGAGGUAGGCGGAAUGUGUAGUGUAGCGGUGAAAUGCAUAGAUAUUACACAGAACACCAAUUGCGUAGGCAGCUUACUGGAGUGUCACUGACGCUGAGGCACGAUAGCGUGGGGAUCAAAC